AAGUCAGGAGCGUUUCACAGGUGCUGCAUGGGCUGUCGUCAGCUCGUGCCGUGAGGUGUUGGGUUAAGUCCCGCAACGAGCGCAACCCUCGUGCUAUGUUGAUUUCUCAUAGCAGACUGCCUUGUACAGCAAGGAGGAAGGUGGGGAUGACGUCAAGUCAGCAUGGCCUUUAUGCCCUGGGCUACACACACGCUACAAUGGGUGGGCACAGAGGGUUGCCACGGAGCAAUCCGGAGCGAAUCCCUUAAAACCAUCCUCAGUUCGGAUUGUAGGCUGCAAUCGCCUGCAUGAAGCCGGAGCUGCUAGUAACCGCAGGUCAGCUAUACUGCGGUGAAUACGUUCUCGGGCCUU
rnacentral:rRNA from 1 species